AAGGCAAAAGGGCCAACAAGUGCUAAGCAUCUCUCGGGGAACUCCUUCAAGACUGUUGGAAGACCAUUUCAGUUUUGAUGCCUUCAGUGUGAAUCUACAAUUUUCAGUCAUGAAAAUAAAGAAAACUCUUUGAAUGAGAAGGUGUGUCCAAACUUUUGGUCUGUACUGUAUAUAUAUAUAUA